rnacentral:rRNA from 1 species
AGAGUUUGAUCAUGGCUCAGGAUGAACGCUAGCGGCAGGCUUAAUACAUGCAAGUCGAGGGGCAGCGCGGGGUAGCAAUACUCUGGCGGCGACCGGCAAACGGGUGCGGAACACGUACACAACCUUCCUUUAAGUGGGGAAUAGCCCAGAGAAAUUUGGAUUAAUACCCCGUAACAUUAUGAUAUGGCAUCAUAUUAUAAUUAAAGCUCCGGCGCUUAAUGAUGGGUGUGCGGCUGAUUAGGUAGUUGGCGGGGUAACGGCCCACCAAGCCUUCGAUCAGUAACUGGUGUGAGAGCACGACCAGUCACACGGGCACUGAGACACGGGCCCGACUCCUACGGGAGGCAGCAGUAAGGAAUAUUGGGCAAUGGAGGCAACUCUGACCCAGCCAUGCCGCGUGGAGGAUGACGGCCCUCUGGGUUGUAAACUUCUUUUAUAUGGGACGAAAAAGGGCCUUUCCAGGUCAACUGACGGUACCAUUUGAAUAAGCACCGGCUAACUCCGUGCCAGCAGCCGCGGUAAUACGGAGGGUGCAAGCGUUAUCCGGAUUUACUGGGUUUAAAGGGUGCGUAGGUGGGUUGGUAAGUCAGUGGUGAAAUCUCCGGGCUUAACCCGGAAGCUGCCAUUGAUACUAUCAGUCUUGAAUAUUGUGGAGGUCAGCGGAAUAUGUCAUGUAGCGGUGAAAUGCUUAGAUAUGACAUAGAACACCAAUUGCGAAGGC